GAUGAACGCUGGCGGCGUGCCUAAUACAUGCAAGUCGAGCGAACAGACGAGGAGCUUGCUCCUCUGACGUUAGCGGCGGACGGGUGAGUAACACGUGGAUAACCUACCUAUAAGACUGGGAUAACUUCGGGAAACCGGAGCUAAUACCGGAUAAUAUAUUGAACCGCAUGGUUCAAUAGUGAAAGACGGUUUUGCUGUCACUUAUAGAUGGAUCCGCGCCGCCUUAGCUAGUUGGUAAGGUAACGGCUUACCAAGGCGACGAUGCGUACCCGACCUGUGAGGGUGGUCGGCCACACUGGAACUGAGAAACGGUCCAGACUCCUACGGGAGGCAGCAGUAGGGAAGCUUCCGCAAUGGGCGAAAGCCUGACGGAGCAACGCCGCGUGAGGGAUGAAGGUCUUCGGAUCGUAAAACUCUGUUAUUAGGGAAGAACAAAUGUGUAAGUGACUAUGCACGUCUUGACGGUACCUAAUCAGAAAGCAACGGCUAAAUACGUG
rnacentral:rRNA from 1 species